GGGAACUGAAUCAAGAGAUUCCAUACCGAAGGCAGAAAAGAAGCCUCACUGGUGUACCGCCUGCCUGCAUCAUGGGUGGGGCCCAAGCUGCCCUGGAAAGUUCUCCAUGCAGCACUGCACCUGCUGGCCUUCACCGUCACUGUUGUGGGGCUGACUGCCGUCUUUGGGUUUCACAACCAUUCAAAAAUCACACACCUCUACUCGCUGCAUAGCUGGCUGGGCAUCACCACUGUCGCCCUCUUCGCCUGCCAGUGGUUCCUGGGCUUUGCCGUCUUUCUCCUGCCCUGGGCAUCCCAGUGGCUGCGAAGCCUCCUGAAGCCUGUGCAUGUCUUCUUUGGAGCCUGCAUCCUUUCCCUGUCCAUCGCCUCUGUUAUUUCUGGCAUCAAUGAGAAGCUCUUCUUUGUUUUGAAAAAUGCCACCAGGCCUUACUCCAGCCUUCCUGGUGAGGCUGUCUUUGCCAACAGCACAGGGAUCUUGGUAGUGUCUUUUGGCUUGCUGGUUCUCUAUAUUCUUCUGGCUUCUUCAUGGAGACGUCCAGAUCCAGGAGCUCUGACUGACAGACAGCCCCUGUUGCAUGACAGGGAGUGAAGCCGGCAGGGCUCCCGGGAACAGUUGGAGAUGCAGUCUGCUCCCUCAGAAGCUCUGCUGUACUGGGGCUCCCGGCUGGUUUCAGCAACAGACUUCUCUUGGGCCAGAGACCAAACUUGCUACUCCAGUUCCAGGCUUGCUCUCCAGCCACUUGCUGUUCAUCUGCUUUUCUUGGUGGCUUUGACUUGUUGCCAUUUUUUCAGGUUCUCCAUUUGCACAAGGAUCUCCUUGCCUUGGUCACUCUUGUCUCUUCUGUUGGUCUGCAGAUUUCAGCCUGCUUUCCUUACCACUCCUAGGGAUGUGGUAGAAACCAAAGCUGGGGUUCAAAUGUAGCCCACACAUGUAAAAUAUAAAAUCUGCUCUCUGUGGGAGCAUUUGUCUCCGUU
rnacentral:lncRNA from 1 species